CCUCUAGUUCUUGGCAUGGUCGCGCUGUGUGGUGUGCGCCCGUGUAAUGUACGGAGGUAAAGUGUCGCCCAUUGCUAUGCCUUCGGUGUCAGAGGCUUCCCUCUUCUGGUUCCAUCCUCAAGCACUGGUACAUUU